rnacentral:rRNA from 1 species
AGACAGAGGGUGCAAGCGUUAAUCGGAAUUACUGGGCGUAAAGGGUGCGUAGGCGGCUUGAUAAGUCGGAUGUGAAAGCCCCGGGCUUAACCUGGGAAUUGCAUUCGAUACUGUCAGGCUAGAGUAUGUCAGAGGUUGGCGGAAUUCCUGGUGUAGCGGUGAAAUGCGUAGAUAUCAGGAGGAACACCAGUGGCGAAGGCGGCUAACUGGGGCAAUACUGACGCUGAGGCACGAAAGCGUGGGGAGCAAACAGGAUUAGAAACCCUUGUAGUCC